UACGUAGGGGCCGAGCGUUGUCCGGAGUUAUUGGGCGUAAAGCGCGCGCAGGCGGCGCGUUAAGCCUGACGUGAAAGCCCCCGGCUCAACCGGGGAAGGGCGUCGGGGACUGGCGUGCUUGAGGCCAGCAGGGGUCGGUGGAAUUCCCGGUGUAGUGGUGAAAUGCGUAGAGAUCGGGAGGAACACCCGUGGCGAAGGCGGCCGACUGGGCUGGAACUGACGCUGAGGCGCGAAGGCGUGGGGAGCGAACGGG
rnacentral:rRNA from 1 species